GCUGGAGUUUGAGGAUCCACCCUGUAGAGAGUGCUUUGAAGUUCCUGCUUUUGUUUCAGAUCCUAGUGCAGGGGUAGGCGACCUUUUAGCAGAAGAUUGUGAUGACCCGGAGCAUGCCGGUCCUAUUUUUGUUAAAUUGAGGUUUGUAUGUUGCUGUGUUCUGCUUGUUAUUCAUACUGCAGUUGUUUUGUAUUGUUGUAUUUGUGCAUAUGUGAGCUGUUAUAUUGUAUAUGUUCAUGAGUAGUUUGUGGCAUCGUGUACCUGUGUGUUGGGGGCUGCUUGUGAAAUUAUGCGUGGAUGGAUAUGUCACAUUGUGUGUUUGGUGGGGUGUGUAUGUGUGGGGCUGUUUGGGGUAUUGCAUGUGGGGUUGUGUGCAUGUAUGUGGAUUGUUAGUGGUGUUGCAUUUGUGCAGAUUGUGUGUGAGCUGUUAGUAUUAUUUGUAUGAGGGGAGGGUUAUUCUGCAUUUCUGUGGAUAUCUAGAAGUAUGGGUGGCUUCCCUGGGGUCCAGUGGGGACCAGGCUGGCUGGGCAGGAGCUGCGAUAGCUGUUGCGGGCUGCUCUACUCCAGUGUGGAUUAUCAUUCACAAGUGCUGGAAUGAAGUGAUAUGAGAUCACUUCUUCCAUGUGCUGCAAUGCAUUAAUUGAGAAUUGUCCUUAACCACCUUUUCGUAUUAGCAGAUAUCUGAAGUUUCACUGAGACUCCUGAUAGACCAGAGCAUGUUUGGCUCUAGCAGCCUUGAGUGCCGUGCAUGGCACAUCUGCCAUAGGUUGCCUACCCCUGUCCUCAGUGGUGUAUCCUGGUUUUGUGCUGCCGUAGGCAUCACAAAAUUCAGACGCCCCUCCCCCCACCACCCUUCCCCCCUGCCUUCUAAAUACACACACAUUCACUGACAGACACGCAUACACUAGCUAACAGACAUACACACUCACUAACAGACACAUACAGUCACUAGCAGACACACGCAUUCACUAACAGACACGCACGUAGUAACACACUCCCUAAUAGACACACUCCCUGACAUACACACAAUCACUAACACACACUCACUAACAGACACACACACACUUACAUUAACACACUCACUUUUUUUUUUAUUUUAUUCAACCCCCAGCCUCCUUACCUUUGGGAAUACUGGGGGGGGGGGGUUCUCCCUUUCCCUGGGGGUCCAGUGGCUGCUGGUAGGGCGGCCACUGGCGAGGGAGCACUUUCCCCUGAGCUCUCUGCUCAGCUCCCUCGCGUGCUGCAGAGUCAUGCCGGGAACCGGAUUUUGAGAUAGCUUGAGCUGAGGAGGCCAAGACUCAUAAAGUAACAAGGCACAAGAGACAUCAAAGCCUAUAAGUAUCUUGGUGUAGGCAGGCAUAAUACCCUGGUACCCUUAAGGAGCCUACAAACCAGACGAUGCUGACUAGCUGGGAAACUGUUGAACCCUGAUGUGCUUAAGAAAUGACAGAAUGUUACAAGUUCGAUGUCCUAUACUCACAACCGGCCUCAUACAGGGAGGUAAGAAACUGCAAGAUGGCAGUCAAGGCCUGAGCCAUGCAUCAGCCAGCCCACGAACACCAAGCAGAGCAAUAGGAUUUCUGAAUUCCAGUGGCCCAUGCACCUCCAAAAGAUGUCUAGUCAGAAGCACUCAGGACAUCCCAAUUCAAACACACCAGGAGGGAAAUAGAAGGCGAUGAGUAAAACCCUCUGGAAUGUGAAGUAAGAACUACUAAGAGGGAAAAAGCCCAGGGAAGUCAAUGGCUAGUUCCAGAAGCAGUGGAAAUCAAGACUGAGCCAUACCAAAUGGGAACAGACAGAUGAUUGUCACUUGCUGCUGCCAGUCCUACAGAAAUGUUCAGGGAUUCAAAAAAAAAAAUGGAGGAAAAGCUGAGGGUUUUGGCCAGUGAGUCCACAAGAAAUUAGAGGAGUUCCAAAUUCCGUGACAGAUAUAGGCAGGAAUUCUUCCAGUUGACCAGGAACUCCAGGCUUGUCAAAAGAUUCAGAGUCCAGCAAAUAUGCAGCAGUGAUGUGUACUACAGUACACAUCAGCCUCAAUACAAACAGUAAAAACAAAGAAAAAAGUUACAUCACAAAUCACUAUGUUGAUGUCUCUAGGUCGAUGUGUUCUAUAUCCAUUGCUGCCAUCCAGGAGCAGUGGGAGUUUGAGCGCAGAGCUUAAUUUUGUAUUAUUGUAUUUGCUGUGAUAAUACACAGCCAUGUUUCUAGUGCUGUCACCCCCUAUUGAGGGUUAAGUGUGUAGGAGUAUAGAAAAAUACCGCUCUCUGUCUCAUUGGAAAAUUUGCUAUUUAGCUUAAAGCAGCAAGAUGAAUUGCUAGUGUAGGACUCACCUAAGAGGCUUUUGCUUGAUGUUGAGCUUACACUUUGAUGGCCAUUGGAGUGAUACUAAAACCCUCCAGUUAUUUAAAUGUGCAUAGGGAUUUGGCAUAGAACGCAAUUAAAGUUUUUCUAUGGUUCUUUUAGUAUAAUUGGUCUGAUCAAACACACUCAAAGUAUUACAUCUGGCCUUUGCACCAGUGGAAGGUUAACUGUGGCAUAGUGCCUGCAGGACAUGUUUAGGGACUGUUAAGUAAAGCACUUUAGUUUUAGGUAUGAGAGAGUGCCAUACUCCCUAAAUGCGGCAUGAGGUCCGGAAGAGUAAUUCUCAGGUUUGUAAUAAAGAACAGCAUAUCGUCUGCAUAUGCAGCCACUCUAUGUUCCGAGUCAUCCACUCUAAACUUCAUCACAUUUGGAUCUUUCCUUAUUGCCUCCAGGACUGGUUCCAGUAUCAGAGCAAAAAAUAAGUGGGACAGUGGACAACCCUGCUUAGUGCCAUUAUGUAUCUGCACAACCUCCGAGAGAGAGCUGUUCACACAUACUCACGCUUCAGAGGAGGUAUAAAGAGAUGUGAUCCAUGAGUGGAGCCACGUCCUGAAGCUCCCUCCUAUCCAAUAGUAGCUCUUGAUACAAUGUAUCUGCUUAGGAACACUUAUGCGAGAUUAUGAUCUGAGAUUCGCGAGGUAAGGUCGUACAGUUUCGCUAAACCCUCCUCCUUUUUGCAGGUGGCUAUGCUAAGCAAGUGUCCCCACAGGCGCAAUUGUGAGCUUUCCACAAAUUCAGCUGGGAUAUCUCAACGGUUUAAUUUUCUUCAAAGUAUGUUUUAACAGCUUAUGAUAUCUGAUCUAUUACCACCAUAUCUGAUCUACUACCACCAUAUUGUUCAGGAGGGGUUUAUUACAUUUAAUGAAACUUAAUGACAUUUCUAUUAAAUGAUGCAUGUUGACUUUUUGGGGAAAAUUUUAUUUACUUAUUUUUCCUUUCCAAAAUGUGCUAUUUAAUUAUACUUAUUUUUAAUCAACAGGAAAUGUUUGACUACAACGAGUAUGCUAUUAGUUUUGGUGCUACGCAACUCAUACCUGAACAGGGAAAAAAAUUCAGACUGUGUAUCUAGUUUCUCUGUUGGGAACUGCCCUUUUUAUGCAAGCCAGCAAACAGUCCCUGGCAGCAAUGUCACUUCAGUAGAAUAGAUGUUCUAAUGCUACCAGGUAUAGCAAUGAAUAUCACUUUUUUAUCUGACUGAACAGCCAUGUUGCUGGGUAAGACUACUGUUAUCUGAACAACUGCUGAUCAAAUUAACUCACCUGCUGCUGCAGUUUCACAUAGAACUAUCAUCACAGCAGCAGGCAAGUUAGGUCGAGCAAUAGUUGUCUGAUAACAGUAGAGUCAGACAUAACACGGCUGCUCACCCUGAUAAAAAGUACAAUUUUCUAGAGAAAAAAAAAUCAAUAUACAUAAUUUUACAAUAUGUAUUAUUAAGUUUCAUUAAAUGUAAUAAACACUUAAGAAGUGAAACUGUGAUGGCAGUUGUCCUUUAAAAGGCCUAUUGGAUUGAAGGAUCACUCACAUCCAACAUUGAACUGGACUGCAGAGGGAGCUCUUGCCUUAGAUACUAGUUUGCUCUUAGGCUGUCUCAAAAAUGCAAAUCGUAGUGAAUCAAAAACUGAAUGAGAAAACGUAGUUGUGACUAAUGCACAGUUCAAGAAUUCAUCCAGAUUUCAAUUCUUUACAGCUUUGAGUUUAGUGAAUAACCCUUUAGGCAAAAGAUGUUACCCAGCUACAGUCUAUUGGAUGGGCUGAUAUUAAUAAAGUUCAUAUGUGGAUAUCACUAUUACAGCUGUCUAUACAUGCAUGAAAUUGAUACUGUUAAAGGAUUACUUUAACCACCAUGACUACUACAUUGAUUUGAAGUGAUUAUGGUGGUAGGAGUCUGAAUGUGCAGUGUUUCUGUUACGGGUGUCCAAUGUCAACUCUGUGCAUAAAAUACAUCUGUCGUAAACAAGCACUGCAUGCUAAACCUUCAAUCUUUUUGCAGGUGGCUAUGCAGAACACCUACAAGGGGAAGAUUGCAAUUCCACCCCCACCCCCCUUCCCAACACCAUUGUGCUGCCUCCUGCCUCCUUACAUUGCCCUCAGUUUUUUUUGUUUGUUUUUUUCCUGGAGAGGAUUGUCAGGGAAAGGCCAUUCAAAAGCGUUGGGGACUUUGACAAGGAGUGGACUGAGGCUGGAGUCAGUGCAUCAAGAGCCACCACACACAGACUGAUCCUGGACAUGGGCUUCAGAUAUCGUAUUCCUCUUGUCAAGCCGCUCCUGAACAACAAACAACGUCAGAAGCGUCUUACCUGGGCUAAAGAAAAACAGACCUGGUCUGUUGCUCAAGGGUCCAAAGUCAAUGUCACGACUGCUAGUGUGGUCCAGCACACAGAACUAAGGCCCUGGGGAGUCAGCACAGCUAAACGGACAAGACUUACUUUUCUGCCAUCCUCAGCUGCCCUGGAUGGCUGGCACCUGCAUGGGCAAUUUCUCCCCUUCACCCUGGUUUGGCCGCAGGUUCUCCCCCUCCCACCCCCUGUGGCCAGGCCUCUGCUGGGGCCUCCCUCGCAGCCACAUUCCCUGCGGGCCGUAUGAGCACAGGCCGGCACUCAUGCCCGCCUGCUUCUUUAAGUCCUGAUGUCUCGCCCCGGGCCCUUUAUGGGAGCAAGGGCCGAGGCGCCACCAGGCCCACGUAUGUGGCCUUCUGGCACGCGCUCUGGUCCCCCUGAGGUUCCUGGUCCGCCCCCUUGUGCAGCGGGUCGAAGACGGUCGACAUGGAGCAGCUGGGCGGACAGCGGGCCUGUACCUGGGCUGGUGAGUGGGCUGCGCGGGGCACAC